rnacentral:rRNA from 1 species
AACGAACGCUGGCGGUGUGCUUAACACAUGCAAGUCGAACGAGAAAGUUUCCUUCGGGAAACUAGUAAAGUGGCGCAAGGGUGAGUAACACGUGAAUAAUCUGCCCUCGAGAUCGGGAUAACCUGGCGAAAGCUAGGCUAAUACCGGAUAAGACCACAUUUCAUAUGGAAUGUGGGAAAAGGAGUCUCAAUCUUCACUCGAGGAUGAGUUCGGCGGACCAUUAGCUUGUUGGUGAGAUAAAAGCUCACCAAGGCAACGAUGGUUAGCCGGCCUGAGAGGGCGAUCGGCCGACACUGGAACUGAGGACACGGUCCAGACUCCGUACGGGAGGCAGCAGUGGGGGAACUAUUGCGCAAUGGGCGAAAGCCUGACGCAGCAACACCGUGUGAGCGAUG